UGUGACCUUUGACAACCCUCCUGGUGGUGGGAAGAAUAGAGCAUCUGGAUGCCAGGAAGAUAAGAAGGUUGGGAAGGCAGCUGGGUCUGCAAGAAAAAGCAAGCAAACUCCAUUCUGUGAGGAUAAGAAACUCAAGUAAAGGACUGGAAGAAACACCACAUGGAGAACUUAUCAUAUAAUGCAUUGACAGAAUGGCUGGGUCUUGUGGCAAUGGAGUUGCUGUUGAGCAGAAGCAAGACAAUGAACAGAUUUUCAAACUAUUUAAACCUCACAUCAAAACAAAGUAGUCUUCACACAAGAAGUCUUCACUGGCAAAUGUAGUCUACACAAUUGAGGUUCACUCCUAAGAGAGAUCCUGCAUUACACAUGCACACAGCUUGAGCUAUAUAACCUUUUCCAUGACCAGCUUCUGCAGCCCUGUCUGGAUGCUUUCUAUGUAGGUACCAAGUCCUCAGAUUCACAAGCAACUGCCAGCUUUUCAUGCCAAUAUUCACAAUUCCAAUUAAACUCUCGGUUGUUUGUCACAAUAUACAUUUCUCAUUUAGA